UACGUAGGGUGCAAGCGUUGUCCGGAAUUAUUGGGCGUAAAGAGCUCGUAGGCGGUCCGUCACGUCGGCUGUGAAAUCCCGCGGCUCAACUGCGGGUCUGCAGUCGAUACGGGCAGGCUAGAGUUCGGUAGGGGAGACUGGAAUUCCUGGUGUAGCGGUGAAAUGCGCAGAUAUCAGGAGGAACACCGGUGGCGAAGGCGGGUCUCUGGGCCGAUACUGACGCUGAGGAGCGAAAGCGUGGGGAGCGAACAGG
rnacentral:rRNA from 1 species